rnacentral:lncRNA from 1 species
AUCUUACCUCAUUUCCAGUUCUUCAUGUUCCUCCUGGCGUUUUGACUCGGAACUUUGCUCAUCAGUCUUGUUCCCAAAGUUCCAGUAUGUCUCAAAGUUGUGUCUCUGUCCUUCAUGUCUGUAGUUAUCGUCACCAGAGCAAGAACCUAAAGCAAGGCCCUUGAGUUAGUGGUGAAGUCCAGGUUUGUUUAAUAAUGCUUGGCUAUAGAUUGCUCCCACACUAACUCGAUUCAAGUGCCACUGAUUUGAUGAGCCAAACUCAUUGCAUCUUGUUAGAUGAUGUACUAUAGCAGUGCUGAGGGAACCGUGAGUGGAACACUUCCAUUUUUCUCUCUUGACAUUUGGUUUUGAAUUAGAAUUAUGAAUCUCACAGUUUUAAACAUUGCUUUAUAUUCUUCCCAGACACUUGCAACAGCCUGUAGAUCCUUGAACUCAAUCACCAAUGGCUCUUCCUCAAAGCUGGCCACUCCUGCAGCAAUUUAGUGGCCUAUUCUAAGGUCACUCUCAUUCUUAUCUCUCACCUCUGAGACAGCACAAUCCAUUCAACCUCUUCCACCUGCAGUUUGAAAGACUUCUUAAUCACCUGACCCACAUUGGCAGCCAAAGCUCCAAAAGGUUCAGUUACAGCUGGGGGGCUAAGGGAAUGACUUUGAAAGCUGGUUUGCCACUUAAUUGUUCAUAAUUUAAAUUGAGGUGUAAAUAAAUACUGCCUCUAAGGUAUAAAUACCCAAAUGGCAGUUCUACAAAUAUAAGCCAGGAAAUUGGCUUGUGAUCUUUUAAUCAUAAAAGGGGUCUGUGGUUCUUUUCUAGAGCAGGGAAAGGAGUAUCAAUCUCUGUUUCUCCCUCCACUUGAAUAUCUUGAAUCAAUCCCUUGCUGCCUUUGCCACACACCAUGGUUUUACUCUGGUACCUACCUGGGGCAGGAGGUCUGUGCCUUUUUUAUGCUAAUUGUAGGAUUGGCCACCUCUCCUCCUUAAGUGAUACAUAGCCCAGCCCAAAGAAAUUUCAAGUAGCUCUCACUCAAAAAUUUCCUCUCAAUACAGACUAUAUAGAAUCACAUGCCAUAUUCCUAGACACUCAGAACAUCUUCAUGUGGACAUUUCUAGGCCAGUGGAGUGUGUUGUGUAUGAGUCCCCUCCCUUCUUCCAGUCUCUCCUUCUUCCUGUAUGCCUCCGCUCUAUUUAUACUGCAAUUUACACAUGAAAGCAGAAACUAUCAUGAUCACCUGUGUUUCUGCUGAAUAGUGCCUGGCACGUGUUAGACAUUCAGGAAAU